rnacentral:rRNA from 1 species
CCUACGGGUGACUGCAGUGAGGAAUAUUGGUCAAUGGACGAGAGUCUGAACCAGCCAAGCAGCGUGAAGGAUGACUGCCCUAUGGGUUGUAAACUUCUUUUAUAAAGGAAUAAAACGAGGUACGUGUGCCUUUUUGCAUGUACUUUAUGAAUAAGGCUCGGCUAACGCCGUGCCAGCAGCCGGGGUAAUACGGAGGGUCCGAGCGUUAUGCGGAUUUAUUGGGUUUAAAGGGAGCGUAGAUGGGUUGUUAAGUCAGUUGUGAAAGUUUGCGGCUCAACCGUAAAAUUGCAAUUGAUACUGGCAGGCUUGAGUGCAGUUGAGGUAGGCGGAAUUCGUGGUGUAGCGGUGAAAUGCUUAGAUAUCACGAAGAACACCGAUUGCGAAGGCAGCUUACUAAACUGCAAAUGACAUUGAUGCUCGAAAGUGUGGGUAUCAAACAGGAUUAGAUACCCGUGUAGUC